rnacentral:rRNA from 1 species
AAUAGAUAUCCUGGUAGUCCACGCCGUAAACGAUGGAUGCUAGCUGUUAUAGGUAUCGACCCCUGUAGUAGCGAAGCUAACGCGUUAAGCAUCCCGCCUGUGGAGUACGAGCGCAAGCUUAAAACAUAAAGGAAUUGACGGGGACCCGCACAAGCGGUGGAGCGUGUUGUUUAAUUCGAUGAUAAGCGAAGAACCUUACCCAGGCUUGACAUCCCUGGAAGGUCUCCGAAAGGAGACUGUGCCUUCGGGAAUCAGGUGACAGGUGCUGCAUGGCCGUCGUCAGCUCGUGUCGUGAGAUGUUUGGUUAAGUCCAUCAACGAGCGCAACCCUUAUAGUUAGUUGGAUUUCUCUAGCUAGACUGCCCUGGCAACAGGGAGGAAGGAGGGGAUGAUGUCAGGUCAGUAUUGCCCUUACGCCUGGGGCUACAAACACGCUACAAUGGCCGGUACAAAGGGCUGCCAACCCGCAAGGGGAGCAAAUCCCAUCAAAGCCGGUCUCAGUUCGGAUAGCAGGCUGAAACUCGCCU